rnacentral:snRNA from 1 species
AUACUUACCUGACAGGGGAGAUACCAUGAUCAUGAAGGUGGUUUACCCAAGGUGAGACUUAUCCAUUGCACUCCAGAUGUGCUGAUCCCUGUGAUUUCCCCAAAUGUGGGAAACUUGACUGCCUAAUUUGUGGUAAUGUGGUAUUGCAUUUGUGUUCUCCUCUG